UGGCACGUAGCUCAGCGGCAGAGCAUCGCCCUGACACGGCGAGGGUCGUGGGUUCAAAUCCCUCCGUGCCAACCA
rnacentral:tRNA from 1 species